rnacentral:rRNA from 1 species
GACGAACGCUGGCGGCGUGCUUAACACAUGCAAGUCGAACGGAAAGGCCCUUUCGGGGGUGCUCGAGUGGCGAACGGGGUGAGUAACACGUGGGUGAUCUGCCCUGAACUUUGGGAUAAGCCUGGGAAACUGGGUCUAAUACCGGAUAUGACCAGUGGGUGCAUGCUUGCUGGUGGAAAGCCUUGUGCGGUUUGGGAUGGGCCCGCGGCCUAUCAGCUUGUUGGUGGGGUAAAUGGCCUACCAAGGCGACGACGGGUAGCCGACCUGAGAGGGUGAUCGGCCACACUGGGACUGAGACACGGCCCAGACUCCUACGGGAGGCAGCAGUGGGGAAUAUUGCACAAUGGGCGCAAGCCUGAUGCAGCGACGCCGCGUGAGGGAUGACGGCCU